rnacentral:misc_RNA from 1 species
GAUGAAGAACGCAGCGAAAUGCGAUAAGUAAUGUGAAUUGCAGAAUUCAGUGAAUCAUCGAAUCUUUGAACGCACAUUGCGCCCCCUGGUAUUCCGGGGGGCAUGCCUGUUCGAGCGUCAUUUCACCACUCAAGCCUCGCUUGGUAUUGGGCAACGCGGUCCGCCGCGUGCCUCAAAUCGACCGGCUGGGUCUUCUGUCCCCUAAGCGUUGUGGAAACUAUUCGCUAAAGGGUGUUCGGGAGGCUACGCCGUAAAACAACCCCAUUUCUAAGGUUGACCUCGGAUCAGGUAGGGAUACCCGCUGAACUUAAGUAUAUCAAUAAGCGGAGGA